UUUGGAGCUCAUCUGCGAGACGUGGGCGUGCCCGCGGGCCAGCUCCCGGGGCUCUUGGCUCUCCCUACAGUCCCAGUUCCUCCUCCGCCUCCGCGGAGGAGCUAUUUUUGCCGCCCUGGCCUGGGCCCCGGGGUGUGGGGGGAAUGCUGGGCCUGAAACCCAAGCCGGGGUUCGCCCGGGGCCCUAUGAGGAGACAGACAGCUGCUGGGGCUGCAGCAGAUGACGGUUGCGAGCCGGGGCCGCCCCCGCGCCCGGCGCUAGGGGCGGCGGCAGCGCAGGGCCACUUUGAAGUUGGUCCAAGGAGCACACGCUCCGACCUGUAACUGAGAGGGGCGCAAACCCAGAGGAGCCCGAGCUGCUCGGCUCCCCCAUUGACUUCCCGGAGGCAGAGGCUUCGGUCACUUGCCAGAGGCUGGCGAGGAGCCAUGAGGGGGCUCUGGCAGGGGCUCGUGGAUGGGCUUUUAGAGACGUUGGCUCCAGGGGUGCCAUCCAUCGUGGAGCGCCCCAGGGUGCAGGAUGGACACACGGAUGGGAAAGAAGCCCCAAUGCAGGAGGCAGCGAGAGCUACGGCCGUGAGCAGCAGCAGCAGCAGCAGCAGCAACAAGAGUUCAUUUUCCCUGGAAGCCUUCUCUGGGCCCGCUCGGGGCUAAGCAAGCCCUCUACAAGGGUGAUCUCAACUGGCCUCGCAGCAAUAAGUGGAAAGUGUUCCUGAAGGGGAGUGCCGCAAGCAGAGGGCCAUUCAGUAACGCGCGCAUGUGCUGUACACAGCAGAGCCUGAGAAGAGAGAAUAAAUGCAGAGUGAGCAAACUGCCUUUAGAUGACCCGCAAAGUAGGAAAUGGGUGCAUGCAGGCGAGGCACAAGCAUGUAUUAUCGGGUCCUGUGCCAGGCCCUAAAUACACCAAUUUAACAGAAACAACCAACAAAAAAGACAGUCCCUGCCCUCAAGGAGCUUGAAGUCCAAUGGGGAAGAGAACCCCGAAAAGGGAACUGGAAAGGGAGAAGCAGAAGCGUACCGUGGAACCUCAGCCCAAGUUUAAGAAGUCAGAACCAGAGCCUGGAGAGGAAUGAAGUCUGGCCGGGCUGCUCCGAUCCCCCAAAUGGAGGCUCCAAAAAGAACUUACUGGUCUAGGAUCUUGAGAUCACUACAUCAUGGCAGCUCUCUAAGGAAACUGAAGGGCAAGGUUUUCUACGGAGGGGGUUCUCUGUCCCACUCUUGAUGUUAUGGGCAGUGAGAGCUAUGUAUUGAUGAUUGCAAGAGACCCACACUAUGUAUAAAUAAAUAGAGAAAACAGCCAUGGGGCUUGGAAGCUUCCAGAAAGAAGCUGGAAGAAAAGGAAUGGAAAAUAUGCCAGACUUGGAAUGAGGGGACCUAGCUUAAAAUCCUCUUUAUGCCACUUGGGUCCUGCCUAACCUCAGUAACUUGGACAUGUUUCUGAACCCCCAGAGGCCUCAGUUUCCAUUUUCCACCCUACCUUUGUGGCAGCUGCCCAUCCACCCACCCCCAACCUGGACCACCAAAGACCGUACAUGGGGGAGCUAAGCCCCCAACGCCGUACUUCCUGAGAAUACGCAUCCCCCUGUGCAGUCAGGCCAUUUCUGGUUCUGGAUGGGUCAAGUUUCCUCCUGCUUCAUUUACGGCUCACCAACCCUCCCCUUUCCACCACUUGCUCGAGAAUUGUAAUCCAAUUAGCACCACCAUUGCCUCUGGAAAUGGAAAAUCAAUGGACUGUUCUAUGUUCCUCGCCAUUGCUGUGACUUUCCAGAUUAUAACUUCCUUACUUGACUUCCUUACUUGCCGACCCCAGCUGCAGGGUGUCCCCAAAGUCUUAAGUGCAUUUUAAGCUAUUAAAGCUUAAUGUAUGCGUUGGCUGGCCAUUAGAAAGUAAACGUAUCACUUACUUGUAUUCCUCGGGCUUGGCACUCGGAAGCUCUUAAUAAAUGGCUUUGAUGACUUGA